GAACGAGAUGACUUCUCUACUCAGGAGGCCGUCGGUGCUCCCCAGCCACGUGCUAUCUCUUUCAGUGUCCUUGCCUAGCACACAAUAGCAAAGCAAAUCGGUGCUUCUAAGAAGCAUCUUAGCAAAGAUGAACCUGCACCGGGAUGGGAAAGCGGGUUGUGUGGCAUUUCUCUGCCCUUUGACACUUGUUUCUUCCUCUCAUGAGGUGGAUGCUCGCAACAUCGACGGCAGCACCCCGCUCUGCGAUGCCUGCGCCUCGGGCAGCAUCGAGUGUGUGAAGCUCUUGCUGUCCUACGGGGCCAAGGUCAACCCUCCCCUGUACACAGCGUCCCCCCUGCACGAGGCCUGCAUGAGCGGGAGUUCCGAAUGUGUGAGGCUUCUUAUUGACGUCGGGGCCAAUCUGGAAGCACACGAUUGCCAUUUUGGGACCCCUCUGCACGUUGCCUGUGCCCGGGAGCACCUGGACUGUGUCAAAGUGCUGCUCAAUGC
rnacentral:sRNA from 1 species